AUUGAACGCUGGCGGCAGGCCUAACACAUGCAAGUCGGACGGUAGCACAGAGGAGCUUGCUCCUCGGGUGACGAGUGGCGGACGGGUGAGUAAUGUCUGGGGAUCUGCCCGAUAGAGGGGGAUAACCACUGGAAACGGUGGCUAAUACCGCAUAACGUCGCAAGACCAAAGAGGGGGACCUUCGGGCCUCUCACCAUCGGAUGUUCCCAGAUGGGAUUAGCUAGUAGGUGGGGUAAUGGCUCACCUAGGCGACGAUCCCUAGCUGGUCUGAGAGGAUGACCAGCCACACUGGAACUGAGACACGGUCCAGACUCCUACGGGAGGCAGCAGUGGGGAAUAUUGCACAAUGGGCGCAAGCCUGAUGCAGCCAUGCCGCGUGUAUGAAGAAGGCCUUCGGGUUGUAAAGUACUUUCAGCGGGGAGGAAGGCGGUGAAGUUAAUAACUUCACCGAUUGACGUUACCCGCAGAAGAAGCACCGGCUAACUCCGUGCCAGCAGCCGCCGUAA
rnacentral:rRNA from 1 species